rnacentral:rRNA from 1 species
GACUCGUCACACUAUCAUUAACUGAAUCCAUAGGUUAAUGAGGCGAACCGGGGGAACUGAAACAUCUAAGUACCCCGAGGAAAAGAAAUCAACCGAGAUUCCCCCAGUAGCGGCGAGCGAACGGGGAGGAGCCCAGAGCCUGAAUCAGCAUGUGUGUUAGUGGAAGCGUCUGGAAAGGCGCGCGAUACAGGGUGACAGCCCCGUACACAAAAGCGCAUGUGCUGUGAGCUCGAUGAGUAGGGCGGGACACGUGGUAUCCUGUCUGAAUAUGGGGGGACCAUCCUCCAAGGCUAAAUACUCCUGACUGACCGAUAGUGAACCAGUACCGUGAGGGAAAGGCGAAAAGAACCCCGGCGAGGGGAGUGAAAAAGAACCUGAAACCGUGUACGUACAAGCAGUGGGAGCCCCACCACUAAGCCAGUGGUGAACUCCACAUACGCAUCCUUUGCUGAGGAUACGGUUAACGGAGCGAAAGCGACGUUCAACCGCAAAAGAAGCAGAGGGGGCUUAGUGGUGGGGUGACUGCGUACCUUUUGUAUAAUGGGUCAGCGACUUAUAUUCUGUAGCAAGGUUAACCGUAUAGGGGAGCCGGAGGGAAACCGAGUCUUAAUUGGGCGUUAAGUUGCAGGGUAUAGACCCGAAACCCGGUGAUCUAGCCAUGGGCAGGUUGAAGGUUGGGUAACACUAACUGGAGGACCGAACCGACUAAUGUUGAAAAAUUAGCGGAUGACCUGUGGCUGGGGGUGAAAGGCCAAUCAAACCGGGAGAUAGCUGGUUCUCCCCGAAAGCUAUUUAGGUAGCGCCUCGUGAAUUCAUCUCCGGGGGUAGAGCACUGUUUCGGCUAGGGGGCCAUCCCGGCUUACCAACCCGAUGCAAACUGCGAAUACCGGAGAAUGUUAUCACGGGAGACACACGGCGGGUGCUAACGUCCGUCGUGAAGAGGGAAACAACCCAGACCGCCAGCUAAGGUCCCAAAGUCAUGGUUAAGUGGGAAACGAUGUGGGAAGGCCCAGACAGCCAGGAUGUUGGCUUAGAAGCAGCCAUCAUUUAAAGAAAGCGUAAUAGCUCACUGGUCGAGUCGGCCUGCGCGGAAGAUGUAACGGGGCUAAACCAUGCACCGAAGCUGCGGCAGCGACGCUGAUGCGUUGUUGGGUAGGGGAGCGUUCUGUAAGCCUGCGAAGGUGGCCUGUGAGGGUUGCUGGAGGUAUCAGAAGUGCGAAUGCUGACAUAAGUAACGAUAAAGCGGGUGAAAAGCCCGCUCGCCGGAAGACCAAGGGUUCCUGUCCAACGUUAAUCGGGGCAGGGUGAGUCGACCCCUAAGGCGAGGCCGAAAGGCGUAGUCGAUGGGAAACGGGUUAAUAUUCCCGUACUUGGUGUUACUGCGAAGGGGGGACGGAGAAGGCUAUGUUGGCCGGGCGACGGUUGUCCCGGUUUAAGCGUGUAGGUGUGUGUUCCAGGUAAAUCCGGUUCACUUUAACACUGAGGCGUGAUGACGAGGCACUACGGUGCUGAAGCAACAAAUGCCCUGCUUCCAGGAAAAGCCUCUAAGCAUCAGGUAACAUCAAAUCGUACCCCAAACCGACACAGGUGGUCAGGUAGAGAAUACCAAGGCGCUUGAGAGAACUCGGGUGAAGGAACUAGGCAAAAUGGUGCCGUAACUUCGGGAGAAGGCACGCUGACACGUAGGUGAAGUGAUUUACUCAUGGAGCUGAAGUCAGUCGAAGAUACCAGCUGGCUGCAACUGUUUAUUAAAAACACAGCACUGUGCAAACACGAAAGUGGACGUAUACGGUGUGACGCCUGCCCGGUGCCGGAAGGUUAAUUGAUGGGGUCAGCGCAAGCGAAGCUCCUGAUCGAAGCCCCGGUAAACGGCGGCCGUAACUAUAACGGUCCUAAGGUAGCGAAAUUCCUUGUCGGGUAAGUUCCGACCUGCACGAAUGGCGUAAUGAUGGCCAGGCUGUCUCCACCCGAGACUCAGUGAAAUUGAACUCGCUGUGAAGAUGCAGUGUACCCGCGGCAAGACGGAAAGACCCCGUGAACCUUUACUAUAGCUUGACACUGAACAUUGAGCCUUGAUGUGUAGGAUAGGUGGGAGGCUUUGAAGUGUGGACGCCAGUCUGCAUGGAGCCGGCCUUGAAAUACCACCCUUUAAUGUUUGAUGUUCUAACGUGGACCCGUGAUCCGGGUUGCGGACAGUGUCUGGUGGGUAGUUUGACUGGGGCGGUCUCCUCCUAAAGAGUAACGGAGGAGCACGAAGGUUGGCUAAUCCUGGUCGGACAUCAGGAGGUUAGUGCAAUGGCAUAAGCCAGCUUGACUGCGAGCGUGACGGCGCGAGCAGGUGCGAAAGCAGGUCAUAGUGAUCCGGUGGUUCUGAAUGGAAGGGCCAUCGCUCAACGGAUAAAAGGUACUCCGGGGAUAACAGGCUGAUACCGCCCAAGAGUUCAUAUCGACGGCGGUGUUUGGCACCUCGAUGUCGGCUCAUCACAUCCUGGGGCUGAAGUAGGUCCCAAGGGUAUGGCUGUUCGCCAUUUAAAGUGGUACGCGAGCUGGGUUUAGAACGUCGUGAGACAGUUCGGUCCCUAUCUGCCGUGGGCGCUGGAGAACUGAGGGGGGCUGCUCCUAGUACGAGAGGACCGGAGUGGACGCAUCACUGGUGUUCGGGUUGUCAUGCCAAUGGCACUGCCCGGUAGCUAAAUGCGGAAGAGAUAAGUGCUGAAAGCAUCUAAGCACGAAACUUGCCCCGA